rnacentral:misc_RNA from 1 species
UACAGAAGCCCCAAGCAUUACCCGGAUUUACUGGGCGUAAAGGGUGCGUAGGCGGUCGUAUUAGUCUUGUGUUAAAUCCUUGGGCUCAACCCAAGGGCCGCAUGAGAAACGGUACGACUAGAAGGAGUGAGAGGUGUGCGGAACUCACGGUGUAGGGGUGAAAUCCGUUGAUAUCGUGGGGAACACCAAAUGCGAAGGCAGCACACUGGCACUUUCUUGACGCUGAGGCACGAAAGCGUGGGUAGCGAACGGG